GAUGAAGAACGUAGCGAAAUGCGAUACGUAAUGUGAAUUGCAGAAUUCAGUGAAUCAUCGAAUCUUUGAACGCAUAUUGCGCUCUCUGGUAUUCCGGAGAGCAUGCUUGUUUGAGUAUCAGUAAACACCUCAACUCCCUUUUCUUUUUUGAAAUUGGAGCUGGACUUGAGUGAUCCCAACGCUUUCUUCCAAGAAAGUGGCGGGUUGCUUGAAAUGCAGGUGCAGCUGAACUUUUCUCUGAGCUAUAAGCAUAUCUAUUUAGUCUGCCUAAAAAACAGAUUAUUACCUUUGCUGCAGCUAACAUAAAGGAGACUAGUUCUUGUGCUGACUGAUGCAGGAUUCACAGAGACAGCUUCGGCUGACUUUGUAAACUCGAUCUCAAAUCAAGAAAGACUACCCGCUGAACUUAAGCAUAUCAAUAAGCGGAGGA
rnacentral:misc_RNA from 1 species